GAGCGGCGGACGGGUGAGUAAUGCCUAGGAAUCUGCCUGGUAGUGGGGGAUAACGUUCGGAAACGGACGCUAAUACCGCAUACGUCCUACGGGAGAAAGCAGGGGACCUUCGGGCCUUGCGCUAUCAGAUGAGCCUAGGUCGGAUUAGCUAGUUGGUGAGGUAAUGGCUCACCAAGGCGACGAUCCGUAACUGGUCUGAGAGGAUGAUCAGUCACACUGGAACUGAGACACGGUCCAGACUCCUACGGGAGGCAGCAGUGGGGAAUAUUGGACAAUGGGCGAAAGCCUGAUCCAGCCAUGCCGCGUGUGUGAAGAAGGUCUUCGGAUUGUAAAGCACUUUAAGUUGGGAGGAAGGGCAUUAACCUAAUACGUUAGUGUUUUGACGUUACCGACAGAAUAAGCACCGGCUAACUCUGUGCCAGC
rnacentral:rRNA from 1 species